UUUGUUCUUUUAGGAACAGGUUUGUCUAGCAACUUGUAUUUAUAAUCUUCCUUGUGAUUUGUUUGAUCAGCGUAUUGUUUCUUACGUUGGGCUGCUGCGGGCUUACCGGUCAAGUUCAUUAGGCUUUGGUGGGCCUAAUGAGGAGCUCACAAACCCAGCUCUUCAUAAACUCACCCUCAAGAAUGCUUCUCCUCUGCUCUUUUUCUCCUCUGACUAUUGUUUCAAUUUGUUGAGGUCUUAUCACAUACCUGCCUGGGAGCGGAGGGCUUUACCUGUCUUCACAUCCUGUGGUUAUAACCCUGUGAACCCAGGUCCUGUUAGUUCCAUGUUUCAUAUAAGUAAACAACUCUUGGAGGAGUAAAGAAGAUCUUAUUCAGAACUACAAGGGGGAAAGGUGAGGAUCCUCAACUGUGAACUCCUAUGGGCCAGACUCCAAGGCCUUGGGACCUGCUGGGUUGAGGAGGAAAGUCGAAGUCUGCAGAGCUUCCAGAACGUCUUCUCUUCAGUCGCAGACACCAGGAUGUAGCCAUCACGAAGCAAUAAUUCUUGUUGAACUCAUCUAUUUGCCAAUCCCAGUGCUGAGCCUCUUAAUGGGUGUUCUCUCACCGAUUACUCACCACUGUUGUGAAGAAGCAUAAACAUUGUCCCCAUUUUAAUGACGAGGAAACUGAGAUUCGGACACCUUAAGGAAGUUCCUCAAGGUCUUUCGUAGACCAGGGUGCAGCUGGAGUCUUCGCCCAAAUUUGUUUUACACGGGGGUUCUUUGCUAUACUGAUUUCUAAAAUUAAUAUUCACAGAAAGAAGAAAAUAAA